rnacentral:lncRNA from 1 species
AAAUUAGUGAAUAAGGGAGAAAUCAGUCCGAAUCAACCAUGAACGACUCCAAAAAUUGAAGAUUCAGAAUUCUAAUCUUUCUUUCACGCAUGUUUUCUCAAAUUGUUGUUUCAAAUCCGGACUUUGAAGUCCGGAUUUCGGUUAUAAAUAGCCAACUCUCCAUUUCCAUGAGGACAGAACUGAACUGUAGAGGUAAAACAGAGAGAUCUCAAAAAAAAAAAAAAAAAAAAAAAAAGGGAAAAGAUUUUUGAAAAAGGAAGAAAAACUUAGGGGGAUUUGGGAGGAAAACAGUGAGAAAAAAAAAAAGGAAUCGAGUGAAGGCAAAAGGGAGGAAAAUCAGUGAAGUCAAGAGGGGAAACAAAAAGGGUCGGAAAUUUGGGAUCUUUUCAGGGGUUUUCGAGUGAAAAAAAAGAGGCUCCGAAUCCGCGGAAGAAGGUUGAAAAAAUCCAUGAGAAAAUUAAGGAAAAUCCGCAAGAAAGUAUGAAAAACGAGUAAAAAAAGGGGCAGAGAAAGAGAGGGGUCUCAAAAUUGGUAACUUUCUUUUCUGAUUUUAUUCUUAAUCGAGUUUCUCGAGUCCGAGUUAGCCACCGAAUCUUGACGUGAAAGCCCCUGCUUUGAUGCAACAAAAAAGGUGCGAAUCCUUUCCCCAUUCCUUUUUGUUUUCUCUCCCCCAUCUGUCACGAUUUUUUGGGAGUGUGUGAUUUUGUUAUGUCUUUGUUGUUUUUCUGUGACUUUAUGGAUAAGAAAUUAUUUUGGUUCUAAAAAAAAUUGUUUUGCCUAUAGAUAUGCAAGUAUGAAAAUAUGUGAUUUCUCUUUGGCUUCAAGUUUAGUUGUGUUGUUGCUGGUCGUUAUUUGCGGAAUGGAUUCAUGAAUUUGAUUCCAUUUUGAUUUCCCUUUUCUUUCAAAAUAUGGUCAUCUCGUGAUUAAGAUAUAUUGACGUAUUCUGUUCUAGGUUAAUUCGAGUAAAAUGUGUGUUUUUCGAGUCCGAGUUAUGUCGAAUUCUAUUCCCGUCUAAUUCUAUGGUAUCUAGUUUUUGCAAUUUGGUACUCGGUUGAGUCCUUACUCUGGGUUUGUUGUUGCUGGUACUUGGUUGAGUCCGCUGGCUGAUUCUGGAUGUGGAUGCGAAGUAAAAUACUUUGAUAUGUUUGCUUUUGUUCAUGUAAAGUGGAGUGGGUAAAUGUUAACGAUUUGCAUACUCCCUCUAGCGAACAAAAUAACAAGGAACCAGUUGGUUUGCAAUAGUGCAAUUUAAUUCUUAACCAACUAAAUUAGUAGCCUAACUUUUGCUCCUGUUUGCAUUCAUACGGUCUUUUAGUCUUAAUUAUGUAAAAUAUGAAAAGUUCACCUCGAUUUAUUGUCAUUUGGUAUAUAUUAUGUCAUUUCUAAUUGUGUGGAGAUUGUCCCUUUCUUACUGUCUGCCCCUAAGCUCAAAUAUGAGAAUAUUGAUGGCGGUGUGGGUAUACUAUUUUAUAAUCCCGAUUCUUGACUUGAUUGAAACAGUUAUGGAAGGUCAUGUGUUUGCCAUGGGAAAUUCGCCUUACUUUGUUGCUUUUACUUUUCCUGCUCAAAAUACUGUAGGAUUUGUUCAUUAAGAUUGCUUCUCAUAAUGUGCAUCUAGGCAUCUCUUGCCGUUUUGUCAAAUGUUAAGGGUGUAAUUGAGCUUUGUGUUGCUUCAGUCGGUCACUAUAGGGGCUGUUUUGUCUUUAAAAAAUGUAUUAACAUGAUUUGGAGAAUAUUGGUGUCUUAGAAAUAUACGGAAGAGUGUACAGUGAUGUUAAGUUUAUUAUAAGCUUUUGUUGAGUGUUUUAAAAAUUCUUCCAAGUCGGUGUGACCUCUUUAUUUGUUUGCUUGAAAGGUACUCAUUUGUUCCAGUUUAAGGAUAAAUAUGUUUUGUAAAGUUAGUGGUUGCAUUCAUGUUCUCGUUUAGGAAGCUUGUUCUGGUAGAAUACUAGAGAUUGAGGCCCCAUUUGUUUUAAGUUUAUCUUUCAAAACUAAACAACUUGCUGAGGUUACCCUCGUAAUAAUUUAUUAACUACUCCCUCCAUCCCAUUUUACACGUCCUAAAUUUCCUAAUAUGGUGUUCCAUUUUACUUGUUCUUUUUUACUUAUCAAGACAAGACAAUUUUUUUUUUCAUGUUUUACCCUUUGCAUUAAUUAUUUUUUCUUUAAAUUAAAAUAUAAACAUCAUUUAAUAGGUUUACUGUAGUAAAUCUUUCAAUAGGUAUUCAUUUUCUACAAAGUGCGAAUAUGGAUAGUUAUGUUUACGGAUCGUUUGUGUAUCUUGGUUGAACAAUAAGAGGGCAUUCUUUUAUAGGCAUUGGGUAUUCUGGCAAACCUGAAAACAACUUGCAUAUCUAUAAUUCUCGGCUUCGUUUACUUGGGAUACAUGUCCAUUGCUAAUAUAUUUCUAUCCAUUUAAACUCAUCAUGUUCACUUUCAAUUUUGCGUGUGUAUCUUUAUUGGUUACUAAUCCUUACCCUUUUAUUUUUACAUAUGAACUACAUAUGAACUCGGGAGUUGGGAGUAUCGCAACGGAACUCGUCUUGACCCAACUAUUGGGUCAAUAGCUAGUAGGAUCGCAGAGCCUCGGGACUGCGUAUACUUGAAAACUCAAGCCCAUUAGGAGUCUAGUAUCUCUUAGUCCCUUCUCUUUAUUUAAUAUUCAUGUUAAGUUACUUUUGUUAAAACUUGAGACGAUAAUUAGUUAUUGUUGGUUAUUGAAAUUUUAUUGCUUUAUUUCGUUUAUAUUGCUUUAUAAUUUGCGGGUUUCCUUUGGAAUAAGAUAACAUCAUCACCCUUUUCGCAAUCACCACAUGAUUAGACAAAUGGAUUUUCUUAAAUAGAAGGGAUUUUAGUAAUUGAGAUAGUUGGCUAACCUCUCAUAAUUAAUGGUUGUACUCAAAAAUAUUUUCUUUAAUAAAAUAAAUAAGGUCGCAACCCCAACACUUUUUUUUCAAAACAAAAGAGAAGUUUUGAUAUGAUCAUACAAAUUGUUCGUACUUGUGUUUCUACGGAACCACUUAUCAAUUCCGGCUCACUUGAGUAUAUUAAAUGGUCUGAAUAUUUUAUCACAUUUUUAUUCACCCUUUUACACUAUCUCUAAAUAGAUUUUUUUGAAGUAAAAUCCCAAACGAGAUUAAAACACGAGGUACAUGUGGACACUUUAUCAUAUGCAAAAUAUUGAUUCUACUACUAUUUUUGUCCAUUCUUAACUACCCCUUUUAAAAUAUACUUACAAAUAAAUGAAUAAUUGUGUGAUAAGGGGUCGUUUGGUAGAGUGCAUUAGAAAACUAAUGCAUGCAUUAGUUUAAUAUGUAUUAUUAGUAUAUUAUUUGGUUCAUUUUUUAUUCUAUGUAUAACUAAUGCAAGUAUUAGUUAUACACUCUAUUGUGUAUUGUGGAGAGCAUUAUUAAUGUCACUCCUUUCCUAUGUAUUAGUAAUACAAAUGAAUUCAAUGCAUGUAUUAGCUUGAUUAAUAACGUAACUACCCCUCCAAUCCUUUUAAAAUAUUUUUCAGUUUCUUCUCUGUCUUUACCGAUGCAAUAACACACUUAUUUGAGAUGGCAAAAUUCAACUCAGAAGCGAUCUUAUCUAUGUGCUUGGUGAAGAGUUCAACUACUCAUACUAUUGCCUUGUUCCUAUUUUCAAAUUUAAACACAAACUUGAUAUCUGGGAACAUCUAGGAACGAUUUUUUUUUAUUUUUUUUUUUAAAAAUGUUGUAACCCAAAAGCUGGCUCUAAUCCAUGGAAAACAUUAUGAUGGCAAUUUUCUUCGAGAAACUUGAAGCAAUGCUAAUAGGCAACAAUUAUUUACAUUCAUUUUGGGGGGAAAAGAAAGAGAAGUUUUCAAUAAGAAGUGUACAAGAUUAAAGAAUAUAAAGGGUAUUUUUUAAAUAAAUAUUUUUUAAUAGAAAGGGAAAAGGCACAAAUAUACCACUGAACUAUCAGAAAUGACCCAUUUAUGUCAUCUGUUAUAAGUUGGACUCAUUCAUGCAAUCACUAUUACAAAAUCGGCCCAUCCAUGCCAUUACUUUUUAACAGAUGAUUUUUAAAAAUAGGCGUGCCACGUGGCAGCUUAUUAGAGGACCACGUCAUUUUUAUUUUAAUUUUUCAUUUUAAAAAAAAAAAAACUAUCCAUUAAAAAGAAUCCACGGAACUUUUUGAUCCAUUGAAAAUUAAUUUGAUGUAUGCUUUUAAAAUUUGAUUAAUUUUUCAUGAAUAUAUUCUUAAAACAUUCUCGUUCGAUUCGUUUUUUUUGUCAUUUUUGACAUAUUAAGAUUGUUUUCAUAUUUUACCUUUAAUAUUAAUUAUUUUUUUCUUCAAAUUAAUUUCAAAUACAAUAGUAAAACUUUUCAUUUUGCCAACUCUACGUAUACUAUAUAUGUCGGCAUGUUGUCGUCUUCCUGUUUUUGCAAUGAUAAAUGAUGAUGCAUAAAGUGUUACGUACAAAUGUUGAAUGCUGAUCAGGGGCAUCUCAACACUUUAGGAGAAAAGUCAGCCGCCUAAGACCCCAAAAAUUGAGGGGCCUAUUUUUGUUUAGUAAUAAUAAAAUACAAAUUUUAAGAAAUAUAUUAAAUACUACUUAUAGAAAAAAGAAAAAUUUUAUAUAAAAAAUAAAACGCAAGGCCUCCGUUUGAUUUUUGCCUUAGGCCAUAAAUUUGCUUGAGCCGCCCCUGAUGCUGAUGAUGUCAUUCUAUGCUUAAUAAAAAAAUAAAAAAAUAAAAAGUUACUUACAUUCGGCUGACAAAAUAUUUCAUGUAUGCUAAAACAUACUAUAUGCUUAAUUAGAAUAGCAUUUAGUUAUAAAUUUUAGUAGUAGAUUUUUUAAAAAAAAAUUCUUUAAAUAUUUGUUUGAUCAUGAAAAAUUAAUCAAAUUUUAAAAGUAUAGAUCAAAUUAAUUUUUAAUGGAUCAAAAAAUUGGGUGGAUUCUUUUUAAUGGAUCAAAAAAAAAAAUUUUAAAAAAUUAAUUUAAAAAAAAACGGCGUGGCCCUCUAAUAAGCUGUCACGUGGUAAGACUGUUUUUAAAAACCGACUGUUAAAAAGUAAUGGUAUGGAUGAGCCAGUUUUGUAACGGCGACGACAUAAAUGAGCCCAACUUUUAACGGAUGACAUAAAUGAGUCAUUUCUGAUAGUUCAAUGGCAUAUUUGAGUCUUUUCCCUAAUAGAAAUUAUAUAAGAUAUAUUCUUUUUAAUACAUUAAACCAAACAGUGUAUAACAAAUAAUGCCAGCAUAACUAAUGCAAGCAUAACUAAUACCAGCAUUACUAAUGCAAUCAUUAUUAAUACACCAUAUUCAGCAUUAUUCUUAUACACUCUACCAAACGACCCCUUAGUGUGUAAGUCAAUUUCUACUCAAAAUUAAUGCAUUAAUAUAUUCCAAUAUUUUAUAUACUUUUACCCUUUUCCGAGAAAUGCAUUUUGCAUACACUUGUUUUUGAAAUAAAUAAUUUUCCCACUGUACAUGAUAAUUCAUAAAUAAAUAAUUUUUACAUAUUUCUAAACGAUAUUUAAAUUUCUUCUUUACACACUUAUAUAUUAUGGAAAUUUUAUAUUCUUGUAAAAAUUAUAGAACUUUAAGUUUUUAGUUUAACAAAUGCUAAUGUUAACCUUUUCACUUCGCUCUCAUUUUUUUUUAAAAAAUAUGCAUGUGUACUUUGACAAUAAAUUACGUUAUUUUCGUAUAUUAUAAGAAUGUGUUUAUGUACCUUGUAUGUUUUCUUUAAGUUUGAUAAACAUGUGCGUAGUUACCAUCAUUCUAGCAAAUAACAAAGUAAUCAUUUUCCUAAACUGAGUGUAAGGUCUAUCUUCGGAUAGACUCUGAGGGGUGUCUAACAUCUUCCCCUCGAGUAAUCAAAACUCUUACUCACAAUUUCAAAAUAUUUUCGACAGACUAAAAUAGAGUUUUACAUAAAAAAUAGUUUUUCCUAAUUUUCCUAAAAAGUUAGGUGGCGACUCUAAAAAAUGAAUUUUCAAAACCCAAGAGUCAUGACAACGCCACCACAUGUUGUGUGCUAUUUCAACUGGCUCGAAAUAGGGCGCGACUAUGACAAUAAUCACAAGUAAGAAUCCAAAAUCAUAACUGAAUUAAUCAACCAAAAUCAAUACAAGAGAAUUCCAAGAUCAAAAUCAAAUCUCGGAAUCAAAAUAUGUUUGUGAGUAUCAAGAGUGUGUUAGUUCUAUUAAAAAACAUAUAAGAAGUAGUUAUAAUGCAUGAGGAAACCCUAAAACCAAAGCCCAAAUGAAAUACAAGAAAAAAAGGUCAGUGGCCACAUAUGGUCUCCACAUGCGGCCUAGCCUUGGCGCAUGUGGUACAUGCGGCCUGAGGCUGAGCGCACGUGGUGACUUCAUGUGCCCACCAAAAAUUCCCACUGGUUUGCUUUGAGGAUUUUGGACUUCUGACAGAUGUUUUGCCCACAUGUGCUACAUGCGGUUCGUAUGUUGACUUAGCAAGUGCCGAAAGAUAUUUUUUUAGCUCUUCUUCAAUUCCCGCAUAUGUUUUAGUCACGAAAAAUUCAGAAAGUGUCACGAACACCCAUUAUUGAUCACAUAAGUAGCCAAAAAUAUCCUUUUUCCUCUUUUUCACGAACUUAACAUCUAAAACCUAGUAUCCUGCAAAACAUACCCAAAACGCAUUAUAUCUAACGAAACAACCUUAGAAACUUGCAUAUUUUCCUUGUUUUAAGCAUCGAAAGUACUAUAUUUCUAUAGCACAUCAUGUCCUUCAUUUAUUCUCAAAAUAAAUGUACAAAAUAGCAUUAGUGGUUAUAGAGUACACCAGUUUUCAUAUUAUUAUGAAGUACCUAUGGCGAUAUCUGUUUCCUUUCAACAAAUUUUCUUUACAUUCUACACCUUGGGGUGUCUCAGAAGUCCAAGUUCCAUCACCCUACACCUUGCCAAAUAUUGUGAGUUCAAGUAACUGUAAGUUUUUGCUUCUUACAGCUUGAUGUUUAAUAUCAUUUCAAAUUAUAUUGAAAUUAAUUGGUUAUACUGAGUGAAUAAUUAAUAAGCAUAGAAUACACAGAUCAAAAAAAACCUUUCUCCUUUUAUAGCCUUAUAUCAGGAAGAUAUUUGUCCUCUUAUUACCCAAGGUCUGUAUUACUGUUCUAAUCUUAUAGUUCAAUUGUAUAUAACAGUAGUUGAUGGUUAUCUUUUGUUUUAUUGAAAAGAAGUCGAAACAAGAGUUUCAUGAAAAUACUAAGGGUGGUUUGCACUUCUGGCCAUAUUUUUUACUGGUCUUUAAUUUUCAUUCUUCAAGACAAUAAGUUUAUAUGUUUGCAUCAUAAUAAUCUACAAGUUAUUUGUCCUGCUCUUUUAGAGAACUUAUGGCCCCAUUGGGAUAAGUUGGAUUUCUAAAGGCAAGGUUAAAUAUUAGCCUAUUUAAGACAAACUAUGCAUUAAAUGAAUUACUAAUAAUCACAAGAUCGGGAUAGUGGUCAGAACUUCAAAUAAUGUGUUUCCUUAUCCUUAUGUUUUCAAGAGAAGGUAUUGUUGGUUUUAAAUUGUCGAACAUUUUAUGGAAAAAUUUUGUGAUGAAUAUUGUAACUUAAUUAAAAUAAAGUGGUAAGGAAAAAAAUGUCAUACAAUAAUGAGAGCCUGUUUGGGAUUACUGUUAGAAAACUGUUUAUUUGAGAAACAUUUUUAUAAAAUAGCUUUUCAGAAAAGUGCUUUUAAUAAAAACAAAUUAUGUUUGGUAAAUUCAUUUGAAAAGUGUUUUUGAUAAAUAUAUUAUGUUUGGAUAAUCUUUUUUAAGAGGUGUUUUUGAGAGACAAAUGACCAAAACGGACAUGUAUCAAUAGACUUUUACUAUUAAUUAAAUCAUUUUAUAGAGAAAAAUUGUUGUAAUUAUCUAUUAUAAUAUUUUUAAUUAUUUAUUUAAAAUAGUAUUUUUAAUUAUUUAUUUAAAAUUAAAAAUUCAAGAAAAAUUUACGAGUAUUGUCAAAAUACCAUUUGAUCUUGCAACAACAUUAUUCAUCUAUCAUUUAUUAUCAUUAAUACUAAAAAAUAAAGAGAUAUAUUCUUCGAUCGUCAUCAUUAAUGAUAUGUUUGAAUUUAUUUAAUGAAAAUGAGUGAAAAAUAAAAUAAUAAUAUAUAAAUAAUAGAAGGAAAUAAAGAAUUAUGAUGUAAAUAUGAAGUAUAAAAUUCUAAAAUCAAAUUUUAACCAAACUUAUAAGAUAUGCUAAUUAAUUAAUAAGGGAUAUAUAUGUGUGUGUGUGUGUGUGUGUGUGUGUGUGUGUGUUUAUAUAAGUGAUACAGGUACUUUUGUCAUGAGAAAAAUAAUUUCCUAUACUUCUACUUCUGUUUUUUUAAAAAAACAAAAAAUUUCUUCUUCUUUUCAAAAGCGGAAUAACUGCUUCUGCUUCUUUUUAAAAGUACUUUUGCAAGUUCACUAAACACUCUUUUUUCAAAAAAGUAUUUUUUUCUCAAAAAAAAUUUUUUUCUCAAAAAACGUUUUUUCCUCAAAAAAGCAUUUUUUGUGAAAAAAGCAAUCCCAAACAGGUUAUAAUAAGCAUUCCUAAUGUAACAAUUCAUUUGUCAAAAUUGAAUAUGGUCUAUUUGGAUAGUCACCUGGUAAUUGAAAUUGGUGUAAUUACUAGGAUAAUAAUUUUUAGUCAAGUAAUUACACAACCUAGUAAUUAUAAUAACUUGUUUGUUUGCCACAAUGUAAUUAUAGUGUAAUUACAAGUGUAUUAUUUGGUUGCACAAGUGUAAUCACAUGAUUAUCUUAAAUGUUUAAAAUAAAUAAAUAUUAAUUAUCUAUAAUGAGCCUUUAGGUCAAUUUCUCUGCUUUCAUGUAUUUUUUGUGUAUUUUGUAUUUUGUGCUUUUUGAUAGUGGUUACAGGUUAUUUAUGACUUAAUUGGGACCGUCGGUUUGGUUCUCAUGCAGUUCGUUUGGGUUCUAAGUCCAUUUCCCUAUUUAAGAGCUUUUUAAGUUAAGAAUUUGAUCUUUGACCAAAACUUCUAGUGAACGUCAUCGAAUGACAAAGAAGCUAACAAAAUGGAGAAGUCUGAGUACCCAAAUGAAACACCUAUUCAGCCACAAGAGAGACCACCACAACCAUUCCCUCAUAAGCUUAAAAAAGUCAAAGAGGAUGCUUGUUUUAAGAAGUUCUUUGACAUAUUUAGAGAACUUCACAUUAACCUUCUUUUAUUAUAUAUUUUGCAGGGAAUGCCUAAGUACUCUAAGUACUUGAAAGAUGUGGUGAAAAAUAAGAUGAAGCUUGGUGACAACGAGAUAAUCGAAUUUAUGAAAGAGUGCAGUUCUGUGGUAAUGAGAAAGAUGCCCCAAGAGCUCAAGAACCCUAUAAGUUUCACCCUCCUUAUACAAAUUAGUGAAAGUGAUGUGGUCCAUGCUUUGAGUGAUUUGGUGGAAAGCAUAAAUUUGAUUCCCCCAUACGUGUUUAAAACUCUAGAUUUGGUAAAAUGGAGGCCCUGUUCAGCUGUGCUCCAAAUUGCAGACAAAAUAAUAGUGGUUCCUAGAGAAAUCAUAGAUGAUGUUCUCAUUAAAAUUGGUGAGUUCAUUAUUUGUGCUGAAUUUAUUAUUUUUGAUUAUGAUGUAGAUGACACGGUGCCAAUCAUAUUAGGACAUCCAUUCUUGGCCACUAGAUAAGCACUAAUAGAUGUAAGAAAGAGCACUCUCAAAAUGACAUUGAAUAAUAAAAAGGCGGUCUUCAAAGUGUACAAAGCACUCAAUAUAUCCUCACACUACAAAUAUUUGUGCAUGAUCAUAGCUAUAGAAGUAGAUAAGUGCAGGGUGGAGGAGCACUAAUAUAUGUGAGAGAGGGCACUCUCAAAAUAAGAUUGAAUAAUAAAGAGGUGGUCUUCAAAUUGUAUAAAACACUCAAUACAUCCUCACACUACAAAGAUCUACACAUGAUCAUAGCAAUGGAAGUAGAUGAGUAUAGGAUGGAGGAGUGCAAACCUCUAAUUACCUCUCUGAACUCUCUCAUGGAGUAGCCCAAGUUAACAAUGAAGCCUAAAAUUGAGAAACUUGAAGGGGAGCAUGAACAGGUAAGUGUAGAAAGAGUGGCAGAUCUUGAGAGUAGGCACUCAAGAGGUCUGAAAAUAAUAAGAAGAUGGGCUUCGAGUAGGAAGAAAAGGAUAAGAGAUUGUAGUUAAGAGUUGUAAGUUUAGUCAUGUCGCGAUAAUAAAUCAAACACUGAUUAGGAGGUAACCCAAGUUAAGGUAGUCAUUUUUUCUUUAAUUUUCAUUAAUAUCACAUUUGGUUUUAUUUUUGUUUUAUGUAAAUAGGUUGAAGAAAAGUUUUAGUACUAGAGAUCUUAGCUAGGAAGCACGACAAAAACUGAGUGUGGGGUCCUUCAGAUCUCUUUGAUGAACAUGAUGCUACUAGCUAGGCCUAGAGGCCUCAGGGAUAGGGAUGGCAAUGGUGCGGUACGGGUGUGGUGUGGUGCGGGUUUUAAUAUAUGAGGGGCAGUGCGGGUUUUAAGUUAUGCGGUGCGGUGCGGGUGCAGGGCGGGUUAAAGUAAGUUUUUUUUUAAAUGGUGCAAUGCGGUGCGGGUUGCGGGUAUAUGCGGGUUUAAAUUAAAAAAAAAUAAAAAAUUAGUAUUGUUCUUGUGAAUAUGCCUAAAAUUAUGUGUUCUUUACUUAAAUUUUAUAAUACUUAAAACGACAUACAUAACACUACAAAUAAAUAAUUUUAUAGUAGCUUUUUUAAUAUCGCUAUUCAUUUGAAUAAAAAUAUGAUAUUUUAUCAUUACUUGUAUACGUUAUACUUUUUGAUAAUUUUUUAGUGAAAAGUGAUAUAAUAGAAAUUAAUUAUUAUUUUCUAGUUGUAGAUUUGAAAAUAUUAUGAUUUUCAAUGGAGUUAUAAAUUUUUCAAAAAAAAUAAAAAUAAAAACAUGGGGAGGUGCGAUGCGGUUAUGCGCAGGUAUGAAUGUGAGGCAGGUUUAUGCGGAUUUAAAUAUGAUGUGGUGCGGUAUGGUUUUAAAACUUACGGAUUUAGAAAAAAAUUACACCGCACCCGCACCGCACCACACCAUUGCCAUCCCUAUCAGGGAGUAUUUCUAUCCUUACUUUUAAUUUAUACUUUGCAGAUAAAGUGUGACUUUAAGUAUGGGGAGGGGAAUAUUUUGAUUGUUUAGGGUGAAGUAUUGCUAUAAGAUGUCUAGGUUCUGUUUAAAUUUUAAAAAAUUACAAAAAUAUUUUAUCUUUAUUUAUUUUUAGCUUUAUUAUUUGGUCUAUUUGGUAGAAGCACACUUCACCCACCUUUCAUUUUUUUGGGUCUUCUCUGAGAGAGUGCCCUUUGAAUCCAGUAUUAUUUUUUAUUUUUAGGAGUAAUUUUAAAAUUUGUGUCAUUAGGAAUAGAUAAAGAUACUCUUGUUAGGUUCUAUACAUGGUUACAUGAUGCAAGUUUGUUUUAAAUAUGCAAGCAUGUGUAAAUAAGUUGAAUGACUUCGUUGAGACACCUAGGUUUAUUUAUUUGACUCUUGUAUGAUGUUGGAUUAAUUUUAGAUUCAUGCUAUUGCUUGAUUUAGAAUCUAUAGAGAUCUUUAUUGAUUUAAACAUAUGUAAUGUGUGAGUGAGGUUUUUAUCAUAUUCCUUGUUGCAUAGUGAUGUCUAGAACUUGCCUGGUGUAUUUUCAAAAUGAAAUAAAGAUUGUUGAGUUUAGGAGAUGAAAUAGGCAUUUCUUUGAUAGUCAUAGUUUGCACUUGCUUUAUCAACCCUUUAUGUAUGGUCAUAGUUAGCCUAUUGAGCCUUUAGCCUAUUCUUUGGUAAAUUUAUAUGUAGCUUAUUCCUUUUAUUUUAAUUUAUUAUUAUUUGAUCCAAUACUCCUAAGAGCUUUAGUUGAGGAAUUAAGAUGAUAAGGAGUGUAAAAUUGAAAAAGGAAAAAGUAAAGUUAAAGCCCCAAGAAAAUAGCUAUUGGUGUUUUGAAAAAGUUUGUGUUGUUGGUAGGGAGUGAUGUAAUGAAAAGAAAAAAAUAAGUUGAUCAAAAGAAAGUGAAUCAUGUGUUGAUGGAAAAUACUCCCUAUUAAAUAUGUGUGAGCUAGCUUAAGGAGAUGGAACAAAACAAAAGAGAGAUGGGAAUAUAAAAGUGGUGAAAAUGGUGUAUUAAAGCGCUUAGGGAAGAUAAUCACUAUUACUAGCUAGAAUAGUUCCUACCUAUCCCUUAACCUACAUUACAACCCUUUAAGUCCUGUUUGAUCUUGACCUUUAAGAUUCUGAUAUUAGUGGAAAACUACACUAAGGGCAAGCUUAUGGUUCAUCUUAUGUGAUAUGUGGAUUCUUUAUGAGAGUGAGUGGAAUUCGAUUUCUACACCCAGUCUUGUGAUAAACUACAUAUAUGUUAGUGAAUAUGGGUGACUCUCUUCUGGUAAUGGCACAUGUUUGAUGAUGGAAAAGUGACUUGCAUGAUCUCUUUGUUGAGUAAUAUUCUUGAGUUUUCUAAUUUGGUAGAGUCAAUUCUUGAGGCUAGGAAGUCUUGAAGUAGUGUUCAUGGGUUUUCAAUUGUAAUAUGACAUGCUUAAUAUGGAACUUGCUCUUCAUAUAGCCAUUUUAGUUCUAGCUUGAUACGACUCUAUCUAAUCCUUGACUUUCGAGGAUGAAAGUUAUUUUAGUAAUGAAUGUUUUAGUGACCCUCUAGGUCAUUUUCUCUAUUUUUGUGCAUAUUUUUCAUUCCAUUCUUUCCAUAAUGAUUACAGGUUAUUUUAAACUUUUUGGGACCAUUAGUUGGUUCUCAAGGUAGCUCAUUUGGGUUGUAAGCUCAUUUUUUUGUUUUGGAGUUUUUAAAGUUGAGGAAUUAGUCUUUAGUUGAAACUUCCAGUAAACAACCUUAUAUGAUAAUUCUGAGAGUUCCAUUAGCUCUAGAAUGUUGAUUUAGGAUAAGGAUAUCCUUGAUCCGGGUCUCGAGGAUUCAAGGCUCGUUUAGGAUACUAAUUAGAAAUUGGUGAAAAUGAAACCUUUGGGGGGUCCCACUUUUUGUCAAAACAAACCUGGAUGGAAAUUUUGAUGGUCCCCGUGAGUUCAAAAUAUCAAAUUUGGUAGGUAUCAUAGCCUUUUUGGAUGCACGGGGUUUUAAAUUAAUUUUGAGAAUCUGGUCGAAGUCCAUUCAAACAGUUAAAUUUUUAAGUUUUUGGUAGCUUGUGCAGCAGCUUAAGCCGCUUAAGCAACUGGGGUAUCUCUUUAUCAGCACCUCUUCCCCGAUGUACCUUCCACUUUAAAGGUUAUUUACCUCUUUAGUGGUUUAGAUGCUCAGUGGAUGCUUAAGCCUCAAUGUUGGGUAUAUGAUUUAGAAUUUGUCUCUCUCACUUAUUUUAGCUCAUUUCUCCUCUAUUGUUGUGAUCUUAAGAUUAGGAAUUAAUGGGAUUUCAUCCCAUUGAACUCAUGUAUGGUACUUGAAUGGUCCUUGUCCUUUUUCCCAUUAUGGUCUGCAUUACUUUUCCUCCUCUAAAUUAAAUUCUCAAUUUUGGGGAUUUUGAUCAUUAGACUUGACAAACUAAUUUGAACCCCAAUUGAGAAUCCAUAUGUGUUCAAUUUUUCAGCACACAUUCCUUGUCCUUUGGGGGACCUCAUGGUGGAUUCAAUUUUGAAUUCCAUUAGUGGGUCUAUGGGCUAUUUUUUGACCUAAUUCUCUUCGUAGAGCUUAGUAUUGCAUUAUAAACUUAUUUUACUCGUAUUAAUGGAUAGAUUAUAAAUUUGAUAGAGUGAAGAUAUUCAGAGAUCGAGGAGUAGAGAUAAGCAGCUCUUAGAUUGUUCAGCAAUAAGGUAGGCUAUGGUCUACUUUUCUCUAUGAGAUUGUGUAUCAUAUAGAUUGCAUGCUAGUUGGGGUUUAUAGGAUGGUUUUAAGGCUAGUUAUAUCAUUAAGAAUGUUUUCCUUUUCUUGUAAUCUAAUUUUGUGCUAUAGAGUCUAAGGUCUUAAAUCUCCUCUAAUACUCAUUUGUUCGUAUUUUAGAUCAUGUCUCCCUGAAGAUCUGAUGCACGUGAAAGUCUUCUGUCACGUCUGAGGAUAAUGUCUAUGGAGCUCAUUCUACUGAUAGAGUAAAUACCUAGUCUAGGGCCCCUGCUCCUGAUUUUUCUCAUGGGGUUCCACCGGUUCCCACUGUUCCUUCUCCGAUUGGUGACACUCAUGCUCAGUUAUCUCAGGGAGAUAUUUCUAAUGCAGAAUUUCAUUGCUCUAUUCAUUUUUUGACUCAGUUAGUGACCUCUUAGUCUCUCCAGUCUGAGCACGAGGGUGUUGUUGCUCCUUCUCAAGCCACUAGAGUUGGCCAGUUCAUGAGGCUUAAACCUUCGAUUUUUACUAGUUCUAAGGUUAAGGAGGAUCCUUAAGGGUUCAUUGACGAGAUGGAAUAGAUUUUUGAGUAAUGAAUACUUCUAACUCUGAAGGUGUGGAGUUUGUCACAUAUCAGCUAAAAGAUAUGGCAUAUCAGUGGUAUGAGGAGUGGGAUCAGUUAAGAGGUAAUGAUGUUGAGGUAGCUUUGUGGGAUGACCUUUCUAAUGACUUUCUUGACUGUCUAUUUCCUCAGGGGUUAAGGGAAUCAAAGACUAAAGAGUUUGUGAAUUUGAGGGAAGGCAGGAUGACUGUUAAAAAGUAUGCCUUGAAUUUCACAAGCUAUUCGUUAUGCUCCUGAGUUAGUAUCUUCCAUAAGGGUGAGGAUGAUGAAGUUUGCUUUUGGGUUAUACCAUGACUUAGUGUUGGAAAGCAAGGCCUCCUUGUUGAACAAGGACAUGGAUAUUUCUAGGUUGGUGGUAUAUGUGCAACAAGUAAAGGAUGAGAAGAAAAAGCAGACAGAAAUUGGGGAGAGGUAGAGUAUGAAGUUUUAGUACUCAAAACAGGGUGGAGGUCAGAAAAAUAGUGAUGGUGAUGGUAGGCAGUGGUCUAAGAAGAAGACUUGAGGAAAUCCUAGUUCUUAUUCUACGUCUAGUGCUCUAUAUCCUAAGUCAUUCAGUAAUCGUCGUUUUUAAGAUAAUGAUGGUCCUAGGGCAUAGGGUGCCCAAUCUCAGGCUAGUGGAGCUCAGCCAUCCCCAUCUUAUCCCCCUUGCCAUUUCUAUGGGCAGAUGUAUCAUGAAUUUUGUGAGGAGGGGAGGAAUAAGUGCUUUAAGUGUGGUCAGUUAGGCCACCUGCUGCGGGAUUGUCCAUUAGUUAGGUUUGCUAUUGUGGCUAAUAAGUUUUUGGUUGUCACGUCUUCAGCUCCUGCACCAAAGGGUGCUGCUUCUGGCUCCGAUACUAGUCCUAAUCGCCUUUAUGCUCUUACCACUCGCCAGGAAUCUGAGGUAUCUUUAGAUAUUAUCACUGGUACGUUACACCUGUUUUCUCGUAAUAUGUAAUUUUUGCUUGAUCUGAGGUCUACUCUUUAUUAUGUGACCCCAUAUGUGGCUGUUUAUUUUGGUUUUGGUCCUGAGAGUAUUUUGGACCCUUUUUUUAUGUCCACCCUGGUAGCUGAUUCUGUGGUUGGUAGAAGAGUUUGAAGGGGUUGUGUGGUAUCUAUUUGUGGUAGGGAGACCAUAGUAGACUUAAUAGAAUUGGAUAUAGUCGAUUUUGAAUAGUUGAAUAGUUGCUUACUUGCUAAAAUUCACAAGCAUUACGGAAGUAAAUGGGGGGAUUUGAAAUCAAUUGUAAGUAGUAACUGAACUUGAAUUCUUUCGAGGUUGUAAACAAUAGAGGACAUACACUAGGACUGCAUUUCCCCUAGAUUCUUAACUCUAUAAAUUUCUCGUGUUCAAUCCACCUAUUCUGUUGCUCUGCAUGCAAGGUCGAUAAUCUAUGUAUUAUCAACCGUCUUGUGAACGUGUUGAUAAAUCUCACCUUUUACCUUGUGAGUCUUAGGGCAUCACCUUAUUGAUCCUUAUCUAUGACUUCAGUUCAAUUUUCACCUUUUACGUCUUAAGUUGAUUAGAUAAGAUAAUGGAAUAAUAAGAUGGACGUGAAUGUUAAAUUAUUAUCUUAAUCCUUUUUUCUUAAUCUCAAACUCCUUUGUGAUGACGUUAUCGAAUACAAGCAAUCUUCAAGCUUCAAUAGUUGCUCUGAGGUCAAUUAAUGUGAAGAAGAUUAAGAUACACACAGUUAUGUUAGAAUAAAUGAAUCUCCCACUUUCUUUACAUAGCUAAUCCGCCAGGGUUCCCAUAAUCCUAAUUAGGGAAAUCAGCAUCUCAUUUUCAUGCAAUAAUCUAUGAUAAUCAAUAAAGAAUUUCUGUAAUUAAUUGAACUAGAAUAAGAAGAAUAAAAUCCAAAGUCUUCAAUUGAAUAAUAACCCAAAAAUCUUAAGAAUACCUUAAAGUAAUGUAAAAGUAUGUAAAAUAAUGUUAAGGAACGUCUAAGAGAGUAACCUUAUAAAAGAUAAACCCUAGAGUAUUUAUAGUAUCUCAAAAUAUCCCAGAAAUCCUAAUUAAAAUGGAAAAAAGAAAAGUAAUAUCGGUAGACGAUACGACUCGGUCGUCCACUUGUAAGGUCUUUUGAUGAGUUGUACAGUGCCUCUCUUAUGUUCUCCAGUGUUUGAUCUUCUACGGCUUUAACUUUCUAUUAUCUUUAUGACUCAUGCUCACGAGUCGUACCAUGAAAAUAAGACUCAUGGCCUUCACUCAUUACCGCCUGGGACUUAUACCUUUAAUGCUCUGAACACUGGUCUGCUUACAGUUUACUAAUACGAGUUAUACUUAGACUUCUGACUUGUCUUUCUCUAAGACAUCAACUCUGAAUCCGACUUUAGUUUCUAUUCUCUUAAUGCCUGCUUCUUCAGACUUGUAUCCACAUCUUACGAUCAGUAUGCUCCAGUCGUAUCUUAUUAUCACUUGUUUGUUUUGUUUGAAUUUUGUCACUAUUAUGCUUACGAUUCAGCCUACGAGCUGUAUGAUACGUUGAGAACUAUGAAGGUGACUUGUAUCAUCUGAAACUUUGUCUUUUUUAGGUAUUUUUCUUCAAAUUUUAUUCCAACACUAUUAUUGACCUGUUUUACCUGUAAAAAUUCACAAAAGCACAUCAUAUCUACUAAAAUAACCUAAGUACAAGCAUAAAUUCUUUGGUUUAAGCAUUGAAAGUGUCGUGUUUUCAGGACGCAUUAAGGGGGAUAUUCCUAAGACUACUUUUUAUACCUGGUAAGGCCAUUAUGAGUUCUUGAUCAUGUCUUUUGGUUUGACUAAUACCUUGACGGUAUUUAUGGAUCUUAUGAACUAAAUAUUCAAUCAGUAUCUAAACUUAUUUGUCAUUGUGUUUAUUGAUGGCAUCUUGGUGUAUUUUAAGAUAAGGAAGAUCAUGGCGAUCAUCUCCGAGUAGUAUUGCUGACCCUUCAGGAUCAGUGAUUGUAUGCUAAAUUCUUUAAGUAUGAGUUUUGGUUGAAUGUUGUGACCUAUCUGGGUCAUGUUGUUUAUAGUGAGGCGAUCACGAUAGAUCUACAGAAAGUUGAGGCAAUUAAUAAGUGACCCAGACCCAACACUCCAACCGACAUUCAGAGCUUCUUGGGUUUAACCAGAUAUUAUAGGAGGUUUGUGGAAAGUUUCUCUUUUAUUGCUGCCUCAUUGACUAAGUUGAGUAAAAAAAAGGUAAAUUUCUUGUAGUUGGAUGCUUAUGAGGGUAGUUUUGGGAAGUUAAAGGAUAAGUUGACUUCGACUCUAAUUUUGACUCUACCCGAGGGUAUCGAGGGUUUUAUUGUUUGCUAUAAAGUAUCUCGUGUGGGACUGGGCAGUGUGUUGAUGUAACAUAGUAAGGUUGUGGUCUACAUUUAUAGACAGUUCAAAGCUCAUGAGAAAAAUUACCCAACGCAUGACUUAGAACUAUUGGAUGUGGUUUUUGCUUUAAAGAUUUAGCAUCAUUAUGUGUAUAAGGUUCAUGCUAAUAUCUAUUCAGAUCAUAAGUGCUUGCAAUCUGUAUUUACCCAAAAAAAGUUGAAUCUCAGGCAAAGGAGGUGGCUUGAUUGCUUAAAGGCUACUAUAUGAGUCUCCAUUAUCAUUCAAGUAAAGCUAAUGUAGUUGCUGAUGCUCUUAGUAGGUUAUCCAUGGGAAGCUUAACUCAUGUGGAUGAGGAGAACCAAGAAUUUGUGAAGGGUAUUCACUGGUUGGCUAAUCUUGGAGUUCGUCUCUUGGACUCUAAGGAUGGAGGUGUGAUGGUGCAAAAGGUAGUGAGUCAUCUCUUGGUGCUGAGGUAAAAGAGAAGCAGGUUUUGGAUCCCAUAUUGAUGUGGAUUAAGGGUGACGUGGGCCA